GUAUUGUUAGCCGAACGCUCUGGAAAGUGCGGCCAUAGCAGGUGAUAGCCCUGUAGGCGAAAACAGUAUGAAAGAACUAGGUGUACGACAAGUAGGGCGGGACACGUGAAAUCCUGUCUGAAGAUGGGGGGACCAUCCUCCAAGGCUAAAUACUCGUGAUCGACCGAUAGUGAACCAGUACCGUGAGGGAAAGGCGAAAAGAACCCCGGGAGGGGAGUGAAAUAGAUCCUGAAACCGCAUGCAUACAAACAGUCGGAGCCUCGUAAGGGGUGACGGCGUACCUUUUGUAUAAUGGGUCAGCGACUUACGUUCAGUAGCAAGCUUAACCGUAUAGGGCAGGCGUAGCGAAAGCGAGUCCGAAUAGGGCGUUCAGUUGCUGGGCGUAGACCCGAAACCAGGUGAUCUAUCCAUGGCCAGGAUGAAGGUGCGGUAACACGUACUGGAGGUCCGAACCCACUAACGUUGAAAAGUUAGGGGAUGAGCUGUGGAUAGGGGUGAAAGGCUAAACAAACCUGGAAAUAGCUGGUUCUCUCCGAAAACUAUUUAGGUAGUGCCUCGUGUCUCACCUUCGGGGGUAGAGCACUGUCAUGGUUGGGGGGUCUAUUGCAGAUUACCCCGCCAUAGCAAACUCCGAAUACCGAAGAGUGCAAUCACGGGAGACAGACAUCGGGUGCUAACGUCCGGUGUCAAGAGGGAAACAACCCAGACCGCCAGCUAAGGUCCCCAAAUAUGGCUAAGUGGGAAACGAAGUGGGAAGGCUAAAACAGUCAGGAGGUUGGCUUAGAAGCAGCCACCCUUUAAAGAAAGCGUAAUAGCUCACUGAUCGAGUCGUCCUGCGCGGAAGAUGUAACGGGGCUAAGCCAUAUACCGAAGCUGCGGAUGCG
rnacentral:rRNA from 1 species